rnacentral:misc_RNA from 1 species
AAGAAGAGAGAUUUUCCAACCUGAUGGCAUUGGUGAUGGGCUGAUGGUGAUGACAUAAAUAUUGCUAUACAACUUCCACUAUCUAUUUCUAUUAAUAACAAAUAAAUAUAUGAAAUCAUGCUAUAUCAAAACAUUCCCCAUCUUGAAAAGUCUCAUACUCAAAGCAUUAUCAUUCCUUAUGCAUCACAUCACUUUCAUGCAUAAGCUAGAUGUUCUCACAUACACACACGUGAUUAUUAU